rnacentral:rRNA from 1 species
GUACUCGAGCGGCGAACGGGUGAGUAACACGUGAGUAAUCUGCCCUUGGCUUCGGGAUAGCCACCGGAAACGGUGAUUAAUACCGGAUACGACGCAUCACUGCAUGGUGCGUGUGUGGAAAGUUUUUUCGGCCAGGGAUGUGCUCGCGGCCUAUCAGCUUGUUGGUGGGGUAAUGGCCUACCAAGGCUUCGACGGGUAGCCGGCCUGAGAGGGUGACCGGCCACACUGGGACUGAGACACGGCCCAGACUCCUACGGGAGGCAGCAGUGGGGAAUAUUGGACAAUGGGCGGAAGCCUGAUCCAGCAACGCCGCGUGAGGGAUGACGGCCUUCGGGUUGUAAACCUCGUUCAGCACAGACGAAGCGCAAGUGACGGUAUGUGCAGAAGAAGGACCGGCCAACUACGUGCCAGCAGCCGCGGUAAUACGUAGGGUCCGAGCGUUGUCCGGAAUUAUUGGGCGUAAAGGGCUCGUAGGCGGUUUGUCGCGUCGGGAGUGAAAACACCGGGCUUAACUCGGUGCUUGCUUUCGAUACGGGCAGACUAGAGGUAUUCAGGGGAGAACGGAAUUCCUGGUGUAGCGGUGAAAUGCGCAGAUAUCAGGAGGAACACCGGUGGCGAAGGCGGUUCUCUGGGAAUAUCCUGACGCUGAGGAGCGAAAGUGUGGGGAGCGAACAGG